rnacentral:rRNA from 1 species
AAAAAAAGCGCUUUGAACAUGACAAAUCAUUGCUUUGAACACGACAUUGAUUCAUUGCUUUGAACAUGACAAAUCAUUGCUUUGAACACGACAUUGAUCCACUGCUUUGAACAUGACAAGCAUCAUUGCUUUGAACACAGCAAAUCACUGCUUUGAACACAACAUUGAUCCGCUGCUUUGUAACACUCGGCUAAUCUCUGACUGUCCGUUAAGUUGUUCAACUCUAAAUGUGUCAAUCAUUAGUAUGUAUAUGUAAUCAAUCAAUCAAUCAGUCUGUUACAUGUCUAGUUUGUCACUCAAUUUAUUACAUGGUUUGUCAAUCAAUCUGUCUGUCUGUUACAUGAAUGGUCAAUCAAUUAAUCUGUUACAUGAUCAAUCAAUCAAUUAGUCAAUGAUCAGUCUAGUUUUCAGUCAAUCAAUCAAUCAAUUAGUCAAUGAUCAGUCUAGUUUUCAGUCAAUCAAUCAAUCAAUUAGUCAAUGAUCAGUCUAGUUUUCAGUCAAUCAAUCUGUUACAUGUAUGGUUUUUCAGUUAAUCUGUUACAUGAAUGGUCAAUCAAUCACUAGUAUGGUCAAUUAGUUAAUAAUCAAUCUGAUUUGUCAGUCAAUUAAUCACUAGUACAUAUAUUUAGUCUGUCUGUUACAUGAAUGGUCAAUUAGUCAAUGAUCAAUCUAGUUUGUCACUCAAUUUAUUACAUGGUUUGUCAAUCAGUUACAUGAAUGGUUAAUCAAUCAACCUGUUACAUGAAUGGUCAAUUAAUUAAUCAAUCAUUAGUAUACAUAUGUAAUCAUUCACUAAUUCAAUCUGUUACAUGAUCAAUCAAUUAAUUAGUCAAUGAUCAGUCUAGUUUUUCUGUCAAUCAAUCAAUCAGUCUGCUACAUGAAUGGUUAAUCAAUCUGUUAUAUAUCUAGUUCAUCAAUCAAUUAAUGAUCAGCCAAAUUUGUCAAUUAAUUAAUCUGUUACAUGAAUGGUCAAUUAAUUAGUCAAUGAUCAGUUUAGUUUUUCAAUCAAUCAAUCAAUCAGUCUGUUACAUGAAUGGUCUCUAACUAUGUUACAUAUCUAGUUCAUCAAUCACUAAUUCAAUCUGUUAUAUAUCUAAUUUGUCACUCAAUUUAUUACAUGGUUUGUCAAUCAGUCUGUUACAUGAAUGGUCAAUUAAUCAAUGAUAUAUCUGGUUUGUUAAUUAAUCAUUAGUAUGUAUAUUUAGUUAAUCAAUCAGUCAAUCAAUCACUAGUAUGUAUAUCUAGUUUGUCAAUUAAUUAAUUGUCAUUUUACAUGUAUGAUCAAUCAAUCAGUCUGCUACAUGAAUGGUUAAUCACUAGUACAUAUAUUUACUCAAUCAAUUACUAGUACGUAUAUUUAAUCAGUCAAUUACAUGUGUGGUUUGUCAAUUAAUUAAUAUGUUGUACAUUUAGUUUGUCAAUCAAUCAAUCAUCAGUCAAGUUUGUCAAUCAAUUAAUCAUUAGUAUGUAUAUCUAGUUCAUCAAUCAAUUAACUAAUCAAUAUAUUACAUUUAUUAUCAAUCAAUCAUUAUGCUAUAUUAUAGGCAAUUAACCAUUCAGUCAAUUAAUUCAAUUAAUCAAUCAAAACGCUACAUGGUUAAUCACUCAAUUAAUCUGUCAACUCUCUGUCUGGUUUGUCAAUCAAUUAGUCAUUAAUAUGUAUAUCUAGUUCAUCAAUCAAUUAACUAAUCAAUUGACCAUUCAGUCAAUUAGUCAUUCAUUAAUUCAAUCAAUUAAAUGUAUGGUUUGU